rnacentral:rRNA from 1 species
GACGAACGCUGGCGGCGUGCUUAACACAUGCAAGUCGAACGGGGUCCAUGGAGUAGCAAUACUCCGGAAGACCUAGUGGCGAACGGGUGAGUAACACGUGAGCAACCUGCCCUAAAGACUGGGAUAACCCCGGGAAACCGGAGCUAAUACCGGAUGCCUUCAUCGGAUCGCAUGGUCUGAUGCAGAAAUGAAUUUCGCUUUAGGAGGGGCUCGCGGGAUAUCAGCUUGUUGGUGGGGUAACGGCCUACCAAGGCUUCGACGUCUAGCUGGUCUGAGAGGGCGAUCAGCCACACUGGGACUGAGACACGGCCCAGACUCCUACGGGAGGCAGCAGUGGGGAAUCUUGCCCAAUGGGCGAAAGCCUGAGGCAGCAACGCCGCGUGUGGGAUGACGGCCCUCGGGUUGUAAACCACUUUCAGCAGGGACGAAAUUGACGGUACCUGCAGAAGAAGCUCCGGCCAACUAUGUGCCAGCAGCCGCCGUAAAAC